CACGUAGGCGGAUUGGUCAGUUAGAGGUGAAAUCCCGAAGCUCAACUUCGGAACUGCCUUUAAUACUGCCAGUCUAGAGUCCGGAAGAGGUAAGUGGAACUCCUAGUGUAGAGGUGGAAUUCGUAGAUAUUAGGAAGAACACCAGUGGCGAAGGCGGCUUACUGGUCCGGUACUGACGCUGAGGUGCGAAAGCGUGGGGAGCAAACA
rnacentral:rRNA from 1 species